UAAUGCUUGGGAAUCUAGCUUAUGGAGGGGGAUAACUACGGGAAACUGUAGCUAAUACCGCGUAGAAUCGAGAGAUGAAAGUGUGGGGCCUUCGGGCCACAUGCCAUAGGAUGAGCCCAAGUGGGAUUAGGUAGUUGGUGAGGUAAAGGCUCACCAAGCCGACGAUCUCUAGCUGGUCUGAGAGGAUGACCAGCCACACUGGGACUGAGACACGGCCCAG
rnacentral:rRNA from 1 species